AGAGUUUGAUCCUGGCUCAGAUUGAACGCUGGCGGCAGGCCUAACACAUGCAAGUCGAGCGGAUGAAGGGAGCUUGCUCCCUGAUUCAGCGGCGGACGGGUGAGUAAUGCCUAGGAAUCUGCCUGGUAGUGGGGGACAACGUCUCGAAAGGGACGCUAAUACCGCAUACGUCCUACGGGAGAAAGCAGGGGACCUUCGGGCCUUGCGCUAUCAGAUGAGCCUAGGUCGGAUUAGCUAGUUGGUGAGGUAAUGGCUCACCAAGGCGACGAUCCGUAACUGGUCUGAGAGGAUGAUCAGUCACACUGGAACUGAGACACGGUCCAGACUCCUACGGGAGGCAGCAGUGGGGAAUAUUGGACAAUGGGCGAAAGCCUGAUCCAGCCAUGCCGCGUGUGUGAAGAAGGUCUUCGGAUUGUAAAGCACUUUAAGUUGGGAGGAAGGGCAGUAAGUUAAUACCUUGCUGUUUUGACGUUACCGACAGAAUAAGCACCGGCUAACUUCGUGCCAGCAGCCGCGGUAAUACGAAGGGUGCAAGCGUUAAUCGGAAUUACUGGGCGUAAAGCGCGCGUAGGUGGUUUGUUAAGUUGGAAGUGAAAGCCCCGGGCUCAACCUGGGAACUGCUUUCAAAACUGGCAAGCUAGAGUAUGGCAGAGGGUGGUGGAAUUUCCUGUGUAGCGGUGAAAUGCGUAGAUAUAGGAAGGAACACCAGUGGCGAAGGCGACCACCUGGCUAAUACUGACACUGAGGUGCGAAAGCGUGGGGGAGCAAACAGGAUUAGAUACCCUGGUAGUCCACGCCGUAAACGAUGACGACUAGCCGUUGGGAUCCUUGAGAUCUUAGUGGCGCAGCUAACGCAUUAAGUCGACCGCCUGAGAGUACGGCCGCAAGGUUAAAACUCAAAUGAAUUGACGGGGCCCGCACAAGCGGUGGAGCAUGUGGUUUAAUUCGAAGCA
rnacentral:rRNA from 1 species